GGUCAAGUGAAGAAGCGCAUACGGUGGAUGCCUUGGCAGUCAGAGGCGAUGAAAGACGUGGUAGCCUGCGAAAAGCUUCGGGGAGUCGGCAAACAGACUGUGAUCCGGAGAUGUCUGAAUGGGGGAACCCAGCCAUCAUAAGAUGGUUAUCUUGUACUGAAUACAUAGGUGCAAGAGGCGAACCAGGGGAACUGAAACAUCUAAGUACCCUGAGGAAAAGAAAUCAACCGAGAUUCCCUUAGUAGUGGCGAGCGAACGGGGACCAGCCCUUAAGUUGUAUUGAGAUUAGCGGAACGUUCUGGAAAGGACGGCCAUAGUGGGUGAUAGCCCUGUACGCGAAAAUCCCUUUGCAAUGAAAUCGAGUAGGACGGGGCACGAGAAACCUUGUCUGAAUAUGGGGGGACCAUCCUCCAAGGCUAAAUACUACUGACUGACCGAUAGUGAACCAGUACCGUGAGGGAAAGGCGAAAAGAACCGCGGAGAGCGGAGUGAAAUAGAUCCUGAAACCGUAUGCGUACAAGCAGUGGGAGCCCACUUUGUUGGGUGACUGCGUACCUUUUGUAUAAUGGGUCAGCGACUUAUUUUCAGUGGCGAGCUUAACCGAAUAGGGGAGGCGUAGCGAAAGCGAGUCUUAAUAGGGCGUCUAGUCGCUGGGAAUAGACCCGAAACCGGGCGAUCUAUCCAUGGGCAGGUUGAAGGUUGGGUAACACUAACUGGAGGACCGAACCGACUACCGUUGAAAAGUUAGCGGAUGACCUGUGGAUCGGAGUGAAAGGCUAAUCAAGCUCGGAGAUAGCUGGUUCUCCUCGAAAGCUAUUUAGGUAGCGCCUCAUGUAUCACUGUAGGGGGUAGAGCACUGUUUCGGCUAGGGGGUCAUCCCGACUUACCAAACCGAUGCAAACUCCGAAUACCUACAAGUGCCGAGCAUGGGAGACACACGGCGGGUGCUAACGUCCGUCGUGAAAAGGGAAACAACCCAGACCGUCAGCUAAGGUCCCAAAGUCAUGGUUAAGUGGGAAACGAUGUGGGAAGGCUUAGACAGCUAGGAGGUUGGCUUAGAAGCAGCCACCCUUUAAAGAAAGCGUAAUAGCUCACUAGUCGAGUCGGCCUGCGCGGAAGAUGUAACGGGGCUCAAACCAUGCACCGAAGCUACGGGUAUCAUCUUUUGAUGAUGCGGUAGAGGAGCGUUCUGUAAGCCUGUGAAGGUGAGUUGAGAAGCUUGCUGGAGGUAUCAGAAGUGCGAAUGCUGACAUGAGUAACGACAAUGGGUGUGAAAAACACCCACGCCGAAAGACCAAGGUUUCCUGCGCAACGUUAAUCGACGCAGGGUUAGUCGGUCCCUAAGGCGAGGCUGAAAAGCGUAGUCGAUGGAAAACAGGUUAAUAUUCCUGUACUUCUGGUUAUUGCGAUGGAGGGACGGAGAAGGCUAGGCCAGCCUGGCGUUGGUUGUCCAGGUUUAAGGUGGUAGGCUGAGAUCUUAGGUAAAUCCGGGAUCUUAAGGCCGAGAGCUGAUGACGAGUGUUCUUUAGAACACGAAGUGGUUGAUGCCAUGCUUCCAAGAAAAGCUUCUAAGCUUCAGGUAACCAGGAACCGUACCCCAAACCGACACAGGUGGUUGGGUAGAGAAUACCAAGGCGCUUGAGAGAACUCGGGUGAAGGAACUAGGCAAAAUGGCACCGUAACUUCGGGAGAAGGUGCGCCGGUGAGGGUGAAGCAUUUACUGCGUAAGCCCACGCCGGUCGAAGAUACCAGGCCGCUGCGACUGUUUAUUAAAAACACAGCACUCUGCAAACACGAAAGUGGACGUAUAGGGUGUGACGCCUGCCCGGUGCCGGAAGGUUAAUUGAUGGGGUUAGCGCAAGCGAAGCUCUUGAUCGAAGCCCCGGUAAACGGCGGCCGUAACUAUAACGGUCCUAAGGUAGCGAAUUUCCUUGUCGGGUAAGUUCCGACCUGCACGAAUGGCGUAACGAUGGCGGCGCUGUCUCCACCCGAGACUCAGUGAAAUUGAAAUCGCUGUGAAGAUGCAGUGUAUCCGCGGCUAGACGGAAAGACCCCGUGAACCUUUACUAUAGCUUUGCACUGGACUUUGAAUUUGCUUGUGUAGGAUAGGUGGGAGGCUUUGAAGCGUGGACGCCAGUCUGCGUGGAGCCAACCUUGAAAUACCACCCUGGCAACUUUGAGGUUCUAACUCAGGUCCGUUAUCCGGAUCGAGGACAGUGUAUGGUGGGUAGUUUGACUGGGGCGGUCUCCUCCUAAAGAGUAACGGAGGAGUACGAAGGUGCGCUCAGACCGGUCGGAAAUCGGUCGUAGAGUAUAAAGGCAAAAGCGCGCUUGACUGCGAGACAGACACGUCGAGCAGGUACGAAAGUAGGUCUUAGUGAUCCGGUGGUUCUGUAUGGAAGGGCCAUCGCUCAACGGAUAAAAGGUACUCCGGGGAUAACAGGCUGAUACCGCCCAAGAGUUCAUAUCGACGGCGGUGUUUGGCACCUCGAUGUCGGCUCAUCACAUCCUGGGGCUGAAGCCGGUCCCAAGGGUAUGGCUGUUCGCCAUUUAAAGUGGUACGCGAGCUGGGUUUAGAACGUCGUGAGACAGUUCGGUCCCUAUCUGCCGUGGACGUUUGAGAUUUGAGAGGGGCUGCUCCUAGUACGAGAGGACCGGAGUGGACGAACCUCUGGUGUUCCGGUUGUCACGCCAGUGGCAUUGCCGGGUAGCUAUGUUCGGAAAAGAUAACCGCUGAAAGCAUCUAAGCGGGAAACUUGCCUCAAGAUGAGAUCUCACUGGAACCUUGAGUUCCCUAAAGGGCCGUCGAAGACUACGACGUUGAUAGGUUGGGUGUGUAAGCGCUGUGAGGCGUUGAGCUAACCAAUACUAAUUGCCCGUGAGGCUUGACCAU
rnacentral:rRNA from 1 species